UACAGAGGUCUCAAGCGUUGUUCGGAUUCAUUGGGCGUAAAGGGUGCGUAGGUGGCGCGCUAAGUCAGGUGUGAAAUUUCGGAGCUUAACUCCGAAACUGCAUUUGAUACUGGCGUGCUUGAGGACUGGAGAGGAGACUGGAAUUCACGGUGUAGCAGUGAAAUGCGUAGAUAUCGUGAGGAAGACCAGUGGCGAAGGCGGGUCUCUGGACAGUAACUGGACGCUGAGG
rnacentral:rRNA from 1 species